AAAAACCCUAGCCUCUUCCAACUCGCGUCGCCUCCCUCCCGUUGCCUCCCUCGUCGCCCGGCCCCCCUCCAGCGCCGACUCCAGCAUCGCCGCCUCCCUCUAGCGCCGACUCCAGCAGUGCCGCCUCCCUCCAGCGUCUCCAGCAGCGCCGCCUCCCUCUAGCGCCGGCUCCAGCAGCGUCGCCGCCCUCUAGCGCCGGCUCCAGCAGCGCCGCCUCCCUCCAGCUCCGCCUCCAGCCAGCAUCGCCGGCCUCCAGCGCCGCCUCCAGCCAGCAUCGCUGGCCUCCCGUCCUCCACCGCAAGCAUGGGCAUUUGGGAUCUAUGCUCUCAUGUUAUGAUGCUGAAGUUAGCUACGAUUGCCGCACUGACACUUUUCUAGCAAGAUAUCCACCACAUGGAAGAAGAACUGUAGUCAUAGAAGGGGUUGAGUGGGAUAGGUUAAGGCCGCCUCCUAUGGACACUCCUGCUUAUGAUCUUCAUAUCUGCAAUUGUUUGAACGAUUUGCAACCAUGCGACCAUAUUGAGAUCCAAUGGAGAAGGAACAAAGAGUUUCCUUAUGGAUGGUGGUAUGAAGGAAUAGGUCACUUGGAAUCUUGUGAUGGAAAUUGACAUUUCUGAAGUUAUCAUCUUAGUGAUACUGUUGUCGUGCAGUUCAACCAGUACACACCUGGGUCUAGGUGGAGUCGGGCAAUCCUUAACCGGAAGGAUCAUAGGGAAGAGGGCUGCGACACAGGUGGAUUCUAUGGAGGAAUCCGAAAACUGAAAAGCAAGGAUGAGGUCCAGCGCCGCCCCCAGCCAGCAUCGUCGACCUCCUGUCCUCCUCCAGCCAGCAUCACCUAUAUUUUCCUCUUCUAUUCAAACUCAAUAUUUGUUAUUAAAUUCUUGAGGGUAUUUACUGUUGCACAAUUCUUUGAAUGAAAAACAUUCUUUGUUCUCA